UUAAAAAGGUAGCAUUUUUAAGCUUCCCCUAACCUUUUCAUACAAACCCAUUUCAUUAAAUUUGUCAUUCUCCACUCAACAACAUAAAAAACCCAUCUUUGAUCUUCAAUUUCUUAUUGCUUUUAGUGCUCCAUGCUUCCCUUUCAAACCCUUCUUCUUAUUCUCUCUCUCCUUCCUCCUCCAUGACAUUCAAAAUCUCCCACUUCCUUUUUACCCUACUUUGGAUCUCUCUUCUCCUCUUAUUUCUUCAUGAACUAAACCUCUUCAAACCCAAAUUCAAUCCAAAACCAUCACCAACCAUCACCUUUUCCUCAACAAGGAAGGUACUAGCCAACAAAGUAGACUUCACCCCCUUUGUCCAUCACCACGGAACGAAUCGACCUGCAAAGCAUUCCCAUCCCGUCACCGACGACAACGACGACAUCGAUCCCCGCUACGGUGUCGAGAAGCGACGAGUCCCAACCGGUCCAAACCCGUUGCACCAUUGAUGCAUUCAUUCUCCAAAAGAAGAAAAGGGUUGGAUCAAAUAACCCCCGUAAGAGGAAGGAGAUAAGCUUCUACUUAUUGGUAAGUAAGCAAGUUUUGUUGAUGACAACAAUGUGAAUUUGAGGAAUGAUAUUAAAAAAAUAAUAAUAUUCUUUUUUA